rnacentral:siRNA from 1 species
ACGUCGUUUAUUGGGUCUGUUA